rnacentral:lncRNA from 1 species
GACCGCGCCGCCCCGCGCCACCGCCUGCGAGCCACCCCGCAGCCAGCGGAAGCCCUAGCCCGGGCCAACCAGUUGCUGCCACGUGGCGAGGCCUUUUUAUUUUAUUUUAUUUUAUUUUAUUUCGGCACGAUUAGAUAAUGCAAAUUUUGUAGAAAGGCCCCUAACCUCAAAUCUUUCAAACCGUUUGUCCAAAAAUUGUGAUCCGCACCUUUCUAGAAUCGUCACGACUUGUAGAAUAUUUUGGCACUGUCUAAUUUCAGUUUUGAAUAACUUAGUCAGAAGCAAUUUACAGAAUAGUGGUCUAUGGUUUAAAUUUCAAAUGAAUUGUUUCAAAAUAGUUUUGAGCAAGUUAGCUUGCUAUAAAAAAAAUUAAACUUGUUCUCUGUCCAUUAGAUCCAGAAAAGAAAUUAUUUUGUGAAUAAUAAUGGCAUACAAGUUUAAAUCUUGCUCUAUGUUGCAAAAACCACACAAUCUUUUA